AUUGAACGCUAGCGGGAUGCUUUACACAUGCAAGUCGAACGGCAGCGCGGACUUCGGUCUGGCGGCGAGUGGCGAACGGGUGAGUAAUGUAUCGGAACGUGCCCAGUAGCGGGGGAUAACUACGCGAAAGCGUAGCUAAUACCGCAUACGCCCUACGGGGGAAAGCAGGGGAUCGUAAGACCUUGCACUAUUGGAGCGGCCGAUAUCGGAUUAGCUAGUUGGUGAGGUAACGGCUCACCAAGGCGGCGAUCCGUAGCUGGUUUGAGAGGACGACCAGCCACACUGGGACUGAGACACGGCCCAGACUCCUACGGGAGGCAGCAGUGGGGAAUUUUGGACAAUGGGGGCAACCCUGAUCCAGCCAUCCCGCGUGUGCGAUGAAGGCCUUCGGGUUGUAAAGCACUUUUGGCAGGAAAGAAACGUCGCGGGCUAAUACCCCGUGGAACUGACGGUACCUGCAGAAUAAGCACCGGCUAACUACGUG
rnacentral:rRNA from 1 species